rnacentral:rRNA from 1 species
GGGACUAGCCGCCCCACGCCGAUUUUUUUCGCCGGCGCACCCCGACGGCGCUAUUCCAAGACCAUGGGGGCCGAAGCGAAUGGAGAUGCUCUUAGAUAGAAAAGAAAAAGAAAGGGAAAAAUUCAGCAGCACAGCCGUAUCCUACAACUGCAGUUCCGUUUCUUCUCUCCUCGCCUCGCCUUUCCCCUCUUCGGAGUUCAGACCCCUGCCGGCCUGCCGUCACACGAGCCCGCAGAACCCCACGCAAGCACCUCUCUGCUGUGUACCUCGAUCCGAAUGGAGACGGGAAGCAGCGGCGGCCAGAGGCUGCCGAAGACGGAGUCGGCGGAGAUGCGGUGGGUGGUCCCCGGCGGCGCUUAUGAAGAGGAUGAGAUCGAUAGCUCGGACGACGGCGACGGCGGCACAGACACCCCCACGGCCGCCCUGGGCUCCCGUGGCGGUGGAGGCGGCUACUCGGACGCUGAAGAGGAUGAGGAGGACGCGCUGCUGCGCCAGCGCCUCGUGCGCACCGGCCCGCGCGCCGACUCCUUCGACGUCGAAGCUCUCGAUGUCCCCGGUCUGUACCGCCACCAGGAAUUUACCAUGGGAAGGAGUAUUGUUUUGGCCCUUCAGACGUUAGGCGUUGUCUUUGGGGAUGUUGGCACCAGCCCAUUGUACACUUUCGAUAUAAUGUUCAACAAAUACCCAAAUACUUCGAAGGAGGAUGUGCUUGGAGCACUCUCACUUGUAAUAUACACUCUGAUUCUAAUUCCAUUGCUGAAGUAUACUCUGAUUGUUUUAUGGGGAAAUGAUGAUGGAGAAGGAGGGAUAUUUGCUUUGUACUCUCUAAUAUGCAGGAAUGCAAAGGCUAGUCUGCUCCCUAACCAACUGCCCUCUGACACCCGCAUAUCAAGUUUCCAACUCAAGGUACCAUCGGUCGAACUCGAGAGGUCUCUGAGGAUCAAGGAGCGCCUCGAGACUUCAUCAAUGCUAAAGAAGCUACUUUUGAUGCUUGUUCUUUUUGGUACUUCUAUGGUGAUAGCGGAUGGUGUUGUUACACCAGCGAUGUCAGUGAUGUCUGCUGUUAAUGGCUUGAAGGUUGGAAUAUCUAGUGUUAAUGAAGGUGAAGUGGUCAUGAUAAGCGUUGCAUUUCUCAUUGUUCUAUUCAGUCUGCAAAGGUUUGGAACAAGCAAAGUUGGGCUUGCUGUUGGACCUGCCUUGUUCAUAUGGUUUUGCUGCCUUUCUGGGAUAGGAAUUUAUAACAUUAUGAAAUAUGGAUCUGAGGCAAUGUUUGCUGAUCUAUGCUACUUCUCUGUUAGAUCUGUCCAGCUUACCUUUGUGUGUCUUGUUCUUCCAUGCCUUCUACUGGGUUACCUAGGGCAAGCUGCAUUUCUUAUGGAAAACUUGACUGAAAAUGAGCAGGUCUUCUUUUUAUCUAUCCCGAGUCAGGUGUUUUGGCCAGUGGUGUUCAUAGCUACUCUGGCAGCACUAAUUGCUAGUCGUACAAUGACAACUGCUAUUUUCUCAAUCAUUAAGCAGGCCACAGCUCUUGGCUGUUUUCCCCGCCUCAAGAUUAUUCACACUUCAAGAAAGUUCAUGGGUCAAAUAUACAUCCCAGUGAUGAACUGGUUUUUGCUGGUUUCCUGUCUCGCGUUUGUUACGACAUUUGGGAGCAUUAAUGAGAUUGGCAAUGCAUACGGUAUAGCUGAGCUUGGGGUCAUGAUGAUGACUACUAUAUUGGUGACCAUCAUAAUGCUUCUGAUAUGGCAGGUCAACAUCAUUGUCGUUCUAUGCUUUCUCACCCUCUUCCUGGGCCUGGAGCUAUUUUUCUUUUCUUCUGUAUUGGGCAGUGUAGCAGAUGGCAGUUGGGUUCUUUUGGUAUUUGCGGCUGUACUGUAUCUGGUAAUGUACAUAUGGAACUAUGGGACCAAGUUGAAGUACGAAACUGAGGUUAAGCAAAAACUUUCGAUGGAUUUAAUGAUGGAUCUAGGCUGCAAUCUUGGUACAGUCAGAGCGCCUGGAAUUGGAUUGCUUUAUAAUGAACUGGUGAGGGGGGUUCCUGCAAUCUUUGGUCACUUCCUGACCACAAUGCCAGCCAUUCAUUCGAUGAUCAUUUUUGUCUGCAUCAAGUGGGUUCCUGUUCCUGUCGUUCCUCAGAAUGAAAGGUUUCUCUUUCGCCGGGUCUGCCCAAAGAACUACCAUAUGUUUCGCUGCAUUGCUAGGUAUGGGUACAAAGAUGUACGCAAGGAGAACCCCCAAACAUUUGAACAGCUUCUGAUAGAAAGUCUAGAGAAAUUUAUACGGCGAGAAGCUCAAGAGCGCUCCCUGGAGAGUGACGAGAAUGGUAACACGGACUCUGAAGAGGAGGUUGCGUCAAGCUCAUCAAGAGUUCUUGUUGGUCCAAAUGGUAGCAUCUACUCUCUUGGUGUUCCACUCCUUGCGGAGUCUGCUGGUGUUUCAAAUCCAAACUUUGGAUCAAGCACAUCAUUUGAUGGAUCUCUGGACGGGACAAUGGAUGGAAGGCGAAGCCUGGACAAUGAGCUGUCUUUCAUUCACAAGGCCAAGGAGUGUGGCGUGGUUUACCUUCUUGGACAUGGCGACAUCCGAGCUCGGAAGGAGUCAUUCUUUGUCAAGAAGCUAGUGAUCAACUAUUUCUACGCGUUCCUGAGGAAGAACUGCCGGAGAGGCAUAGCAACGUUGAGCAUACCGCACACAAGGCUGAUGCAGGUCGCGAUGCAAUACAUGGUGUAGGGUUGUUUUUACCCCAAAAUUUUCUCUCUCCGAUGGCCAGGGUGCUAACUCGUGGUAGAUACAGAGGCACUGUUUACUGGAGCUACUUUUCUGCUAUAGAUUCACUAUGUAGUUAGUAGUGGGCAUUAACAACGGCACUGUUUAGUGGAAGGCUGUUGGAGACUGACCCGUUUAAUGAAAACAUGAAAUCUCCGUUUCUCCCUUUUCGUCAGCUUAUGUUCCCUUCUUUGGUCGAAAGAAAAUCCGUGGACUGCUGCUCUGAUGGUU